ensembl:snoRNA
GCGUGGAUUUGGGUUGAUGGUAGGUUCAUGCUCCGGGACCCUUCACAGUGCCCGUGCCAGAGCAGCCUGUGGCCCCGAAGCAUUGCCUGGCCCUCCCAGUGGACAGCGGGCACUGGAGCAGGUCACACAGUG